GGUGGAGCAUGUGGUUUAAUUCGAUGCAACGCGAAGAACCUUACCUGGUCUUGACAUCCACAGAACUUUCCAGAGAUGGAUUGGUGCCUUCGGGAACUGUGAGACAGGUGCUGCAUGGCUGUCGUCAGCUCGUGUUGUGAAAUGUUGGGUUAAGUCCCGCAACGAGCGCAACCCUUAUCCUUUGUUGCCAGCGGUCCGGCCGGGAACUCAAAGGAGACUGCCAGUGAUAAACUGGAGGAAGGUGGGGAUGACGUCAAGUCAUCAUGGCCCUUACGACCAGGGCUACACACGUGCUACAAUGGCGCAUACAAAGAGAAGCGACCUCGCGAGAGCAAGCGGACCUCAUAAAGUGCGUCGUAGUCCGGAUUGGAGUCUGCAACUCGACUCCAUGAAGUCGGAAUCGCUAGUAAUCGUGGAUCAGAAUGCCACGGUGAAUGCGUUCCCGGGCCUU
rnacentral:rRNA from 1 species